CCCACUUCUUGUCCCAUACAUUACGCUGCCAACCCUUACAUGAACUCUACAGGAUAGAUAUCCAUUAUCUUAGUGUCACAGCGGAGGAAACAGACUCCGAAUAAGGGAUUUGCUGUAAUAAAGCCAAGUGGGGAGCUGGCAUUGGCAUCGUUGGACUUCCAAACACAAGCGUUGUAACCUCUAUGUUCAUUCGUUGCCUUGUUAAAUUUAACAGCAGGCUCCUUCCCCAGGUUUAGCCACUUAUGAUUAACUCAGCCGUUUACCCAAUAGGCAUUGAGUUCCUGCUGUGCGUCAGCUAACAAAGCAAGUAAAUAAAAAUUAAACCCACUGUGUGCUAUGCAGAAAAUGAAAACAGGAAUAUCCUAGCGCGUGUGACAGGAGCUUAUCCUAAUUCUGUGAGCCCUGCCCACGCCGGCAUGCAAACUGCUCUAAUUGAGCAAAUAAAACCGGCGAUGACCACAGCUAACGAGUGGCGGAGAUGGAGUGGCGGAGAUGAAGGCAGGCCGGCGCCCGCCCGGUGCGCCGACAGCCGCAGCCGCGAGGCCCUCAGCUUCGCAUCCAAAAAACAGAUUUUGUCCCUCACCCGGACGUGCACCCGAGGUCUCAGCAGUCGGAGAUCCCAGGGGAGGCUCAGAACCAGGCUCGAGGUGGCACGGGGACACGUCUUCCUGCACUCGACCGCACGUUUUCCAAGCCCAAAUGGGGACACCCUCACAGAAGGCCGCUUUCAGGACUGACUGUACCAGGUGCCAAUCCCUAAUCGCUCUGACACUAGCCCCACGUGGUCCGUGCGGCGGGUCGGGCACGUGGCCCCGCCCUCAAAGCCCCGCCGGGGGCGUGUCUAGGGACGCCGGGGGCGUGGCCAGGGAAGCCGGAAGCGCGGCGCGGCUCCAUGAACUGGCGAGGUCGCACGCUCGCGGACCAUGGCGACUCGGGUGAAGCGCCGGCGGGUGGCCGGACCUGAAGGCUGUGGCCACGGCCUCGACCGGGACCCGGACCCAGUGGCCGGCUUCCUGCGCUGGUGCGGGCGCGUGGGGCUGGAGCUGAGCCCCAAGGUGGCGGUGAGCCGGCAGGGCACGGUGGCCGGCUACGGCAUGGUGGCGCGGGAGAGCGUGCAGGCCGGGGAGCUGCUGUUCGCGGUGCCGCGGGCCGCGCUCCUGUCGCAGCACACCUGCUCCAUCGGCGGCCUCCUGGAGCGAGAGCGGGGCGCGCUGCAGAGCCAGUCGGGCUGGGUGCCGCUGCUGCUGGCGCUCCUCCACGAGCUGCAGGCCCCGGCCUCACCCUGGAGCCCCUACUUUGCGCUCUGGCCCGAGCUGGGCCGCUUGGAGCACCCGAUGUUCUGGCCGGAGGGGGAGCGCCGGCGGUUGCUGCAGGGGACAGGGGUCCCCGAGGCCGUGGAGAAGGAUUUGGCCAACAUCCGCAGCGAGUACCAUUCCGUCGUGCUGCCCUUCAUGGAAGCCCACCCCGACCUUUUCAGCCCCAGGGUUCGCUCCCUGGAACUCUACCAGCAGCUCGUGGCUCUCGUGAUGGCCUAUAGCUUUCAGGAACCCCUGGAGGAAGAGGAUGAUGAAAAGGAGCCAAACCCCCCCUUGAUGGUGCCUGCCGCAGACAUACUAAACCACGUAGCCGAUCACAAUGCCAAUCUAGAGUACUCUCCAAACUGUCUUCGGAUGGUGGCUACUCAGCCUAUUCCCAAAGGCCAUGAGAUUUUCAACACUUACGGGCAAAUGGCCAAUUGGCAGCUGAUCCACAUGUAUGGCUUUGCUGAGCCAUACCCUGACAACACAGAUGACACAGCUGACAUUCAGAUGGUGACAGUGCGAGAGGCAGCAUUACAGGGAGCCAAAGAUGAAGCUGAAAGGCUCCAGCUGUGCGAACGCUGGGAUUACUUAUGCAAACUAGAGAUGGUAGGGGAGGAGGGAGCCUUUGUGAUUGGGCGGGAAGAGGUGCUGACUGAAGAGGAACUGACCACCACACUCAAGGUCCUGUGCAUGUCUGCUGAGGAGUUCAGAGAGUUGAAAGAACAGGAUGGAUGGGGAGAUAAAAGGGAAGAGGACAGCCUGACGAUCACAAAUAUCCCCAGGCUCAAAGAAUCAUGGAGACAGCUUCUUCGGAACAGUGUUCUGUUGACCCUGCAAGCCUAUGCCACAGACUUAAAAGCUGAGCAAGAUUUACUCGGUAAUAAGGACAUCUACAGCAAACUCAGCUGGAGGGAGCAGCAGGCCUUACAGGUUCGUUAUGGGCAGAAGAUGAUCUUACACCAGCUGUUGGAACUGACGGGUUAAAGCUAAGCGGAUUCCCUGCUACCUGAAGGAACAUCCCAUGAGAAGAACUUUUCUAAGCUGGUAUUCAUGGAUGUUUGAAAAGGAGGAAAAUUUGGAUCUUUCCUUUUGGUGGUUAAUAAGAAAAGCCAAAGGAGCAAAGGUGUGCUAGGAUGAACUCUGAGGAAUGUCAAGACGUGGAGCUAUGCCCCCAGGCAAGUACAUGGCAGCAGCAGCCUCUUCACAUGAGAUGGGCAGUUACCAGUUUAUGUACGUGCCUUUGACACUUUUUGCACAAACCCAAGAAGUUCCAGACAAAGGUUUUCUCUUUCAUGUAUUUACACAAGUUCAAAAUGAUAUUCACAGCAUUUUCUAAAUUUUGGCCAAGAGUCAAAAAAAUGCAUUUAAACUUUGGAACGUGCCCACAUAGACAGGAAGCUGGCCCAAACUAAUUGGGGCAGGUUCCUGAGAACCAAAGGGCUGGGAAAGUCAGGAAGAGCUGAAAGGAUUCCUCAGCCAGUUUAUGGACUUGGUGCUGUGGGACAUCCAGGCUGACACAUUUACAACAGAAAUGCAGUUCCGUCUAACUGGCACCUGUCCCUUCCAUUACUUGCUGAGCCUGCUUCUGUCCCAUGCAGCACUGUGCGACGGACUGGAAUAACCUGAAGGGAAAGAGUUAAGUUUGUGAGAAAAGUUCAGGCCUGGCCAGUGUUCUCAGUGGGUAGAGCAUCAGCCUGCACACCACACCAAAGGAUCUCAGGUUCAUGUCCCACCCCCAUCUGUAUGUGUGUGGGAGGCAACCAGUCAAUAUCUCUCUCACAUCCAUCUCUCUCUGGAAAGCAAUGGGAAAAAGACAUCCUCAAGUGAGGAUUGACAUUCCCCACCCGCCAAAGAUCAGGCCUGGCAACACUGUGUAGCUUUAACAACUGCCUUAACGAUCCACCCAGGCUGAAGCCAUCAAAUGAUUCUCAUUCUCAGACAAUUAAAAAAUCUUUUAACUUACUUUUCAAUUUCUGGGGCACAGUGUACAAAUUCAUGGUUCCAGAACUUAAAUGCUGGAUUUUUAAUCAGCUCAAUGAAGGUAAUAAGUAGACCCCAAGGAUGUGGCCUAUUUACAAUCAACCGUUCCAAGAGAACCCUGGAGAAGGGAAGAAUGAGUGAGUUAAUGCACUGAAUUCAGGAUCCCUAACUCUUCUCCCUGAUUAGUAAAGCUAACAACUUUUAGUUUACUAAAGACAAGUGGAUUAAUUUCUGUACUCUAUAUAGCAUGGUUAAUAGCCCAGGUGGAUUCUUGAGAAUAGGCUGGAUUCAAACCCCGAUUUCCCGAUUCAUUACUGAGCCUAGAAGACUAAGUUAAGGUGAAGUUAGGAUAAUAUCAGACUACAUGGUGCAAUAUGCACUAAAUGAAAGGAAAUAGGAAGCAAAUUCUAAUACUGAAUGGCAGCAUUGACUGAAAUACUCAUUUUUUUACCUAGCCAACCGUACUUCUAAAUUUACCAAGAAAAUAAUAAAGCACAAGAACACAGAUUUAAGUACAAGGAAGUUGACUGCAGCUUUAUAAAUAAUUACAAGAUAGGGCAUUAUCCCUAGUUAGUUUUUAGUAUAUAAAUCUAAGGAAUACUGUGGUCUAAUACCCACAAACUACUAUUAGGGGAGAAGGCAACUUUAAAAAACCUUCUAAACUAUAGGCGGUAAGUCGAUGUGCUUUAACAUGGGCUGGCCUGUAUAGCGCAGGACUGGUUAAAAAUUGCACCACCACCACAUGAUCUUAAACUAAAAUGCUGGUGUCUUUUAUUGAAAACUACUUUUUAUUUCAGCAAUGAUUAUGACCUGUGAUUCAGACUAAUUAUUAGACAGGAACCAUGUCCAUUUUGUUCAGAACUACAUCCCACAUUGAACACAUGUAAAAGAUGCUCAAUGCACAGGAAAAACAUUCAAGAGAAUUCACAAUAAAGGGGUAGAAGCACCUGGAAAACAAACUUCUCUCUUACCUUGUGAUCUGUUCUUGGAUAGCUUCAGUGUUGGCCUCUGCAAAAAGGUACAGCAUGGUGCAGCUGAAGUAGUGAGUGUGGCUAUUUGGGUACCGCAGCUGGUUUGCAAUUGCAUUUAAGAAGAGAUACCGACCUAAAAAAAAAAAAUCAAGAAAACUCAGUUUAGUGAGGACUUGCUCUGUAAGACCAAAAUAAGAAGGCAAGUCAUUCUGAUUGGCUGGGAUUUGGAUUUCUUCUGCUAUAAGCUUUCAAAUUAUGCUUUAGUCCUUUUUCAUUGCUGUGGAUCUUAUUUCAAUAUUUCCACAUUAAAAAGUUUUAAAGUAUUUCCCUAAAAAAACUUAGUGAAGUAUGUCACUGUUUUACAUUACAUAAUCUCUUUAAUAUCACUUAACAGAAGAUGGCUGAAUUCUCAUUUUUGCCUGUCCCAUCUGUUCCAGUGUUACAUUUCAUGUAACCUCUGGAAAACUCCACUGCACCCUCAUUACAAAAUGAGUACAAAAAAAGCCAAGAUAUUAUGAAAAUAGUUUUGACCUCACAGCCCUUCUAAAAGGGUCUUGAACUCUAUCAGAGGUUCACAGACCACACUUUAUUAACUAGGUUUGGUUGUCUGCCUCUGUUUGAUAUUACUCAUGUUUGUAAGGCUAUCACAGUUUUAAGGUGUCCCUAAAGGCUACCUUCUUUUUGCUGGGCUCUGAACAUAAUGGUAACCAAUUUUGUUAAGUCUUGAUUUUAAUCUGCCUCAAAUCCCUUCUACAAAUAGGCCGGCAGUAUAUGCAUACUCAAGAUUAGCCCCUCAAGAAUCCACAGCAAAGUUAACAGUAGGCAGGCAACCCUUGGUUAGCACCUACUAGAAUAUAGAAAAAAAAAA